rnacentral:miRNA from 1 species
AUUUUCUUUUUCAUAUAUAA